UUUUAGCCCAGAUUGCAGCGGCAUCCUUUUUCAGGUUGUAUUGUGGGCGGCGCGGAGCGCCGCCCACAAUACAACCUGAAAAGAUAUAGCGGAAAGCUGGAUAAAGC
rnacentral:sRNA from 1 species